rnacentral:rRNA from 1 species
ACGUUAGCGGCGGACGGGUGAGUAACACGUGGGUAACCUACCUAUAAGACUGGGAUAACUCCGGGAAACCGGGGCUAAUACCGGAUAACACAUGAAACCGCAUGGUUUCAUGAUGAAAGACGGUUUUGCUGUCACUUAUAGAUGGACCCGCGGCGUAUUAGCUAGUUGGUAAGGUAACGGCUUACCAAGGCAACGAUACGUAGCCGACCUGAGAGGGUGAUCGGCCACACUGGAACUGAGACACGGUCCAGACUCCUACGGGAGGCAGCAGCU